rnacentral:rRNA from 1 species
AUGUUGAUUGGUUCUGAACAUCUGAAACUUCUUGUGUGCAGGGUACACAUGUACUGGCUAUUUAUAGUGUUUUAUUUGCUGCCAUGUUUUAUGCAUGUUCUUAUACUCCAAUUACUUUUGGAGUCUGGAUAUAAUGAUGAAGUACUUUAUUUGUAUGGUCAUAGUGCUUGUCACUCCAUAUGUUAUAGUGAUUCCCUCUGUUUCCUUAUAUGUUCUUGUAGUUUGGUUGUUUUCCUGUUCAUGCAUGUUUGUACAUCUAUAUAUAGUUUUGCUGUGAAUCUGUCAUGCAUGCAUGUAUUGAAAUGCAGGAAAUGUUGA